AAAGAUUAACCCANGCAUGUNUAAGUAUAAGCAAUCAUACUGUGAAACUGCGAAUGGCUCAUUAAAUCAGUUAUCGUUUAUUUGAUAGUACCUUUACCUGGAUAACCGUGGUAAUUCUAGAGCUAAUACAUGCUAAAAACCUCGACUUCGGAAGGGGUGUAUUUUUUAGAUAAAAAACCAAUGCCCUUCGGGGCUCCUUGGUGAUUCAUAAUAACUUAACGAAUCGCAUGGCCUUGCGCCGGCGAUGGUUCAUUCAAAUUUCUGCCCUAUCAACUUUCNAUGGNAANAUANUGGCUUACCAUGGUCU
rnacentral:rRNA from 1 species